GCAAGUCGAGCGAGGAAUUGAAUAGCUUGCUAAUUAAAUUCCUAGCGGCGGACGGGUGAGUAACACGUGAGAUACCUACCCCAAAGUGGGGGAUAGCCCUCCGAAAGGAGGAUUAAUACCCCAUAGUCUCUACGGAGUAAAGGUGCCUUCGGGUGCCGCUUUGGAAUGGGCUCGCGGCCUAUCAGCUAGUUGGUGAGGUAAUAGCUCACCAAGGCAACGACGGGUAACUGGUCUGAGAGGACGAUCAGUCACACUGGAACUGAGACACGGUCCAGACACCUACGGGUGGCAGCAGUCGAGAAUCAUUCACAAUGGGCGAAAGCCUGAUGGUGCAACGCCGCGUGGAGGAUGACGGUCCUAGGAUUGUAAACUCCUGUCAUCAGGGAGUAAGACUUGGUUGUUAAUAGCCUCCAAGUUUGAUAGUACCUGAAGAGGAAGGGACGGCUAACUUCGUGCCAGCAGCCGCGGUAAUACGAAGGUCCCAAGCGUUGUUCGGAAUCACUGGGCGUAAAGCGUGUGUAGGCUGCGCGGAAAGUCGGAUGUGAAAUCCCGGGGCUCAACCUCGGAACUGCAUUCGAUACUACCGUGCUAGAGUAAUGGAGAGGUAACUGGAAUUCUCGGUGUAGCAGUGAAAUGCGUAGAU
rnacentral:rRNA from 1 species